AAUAAACGAAUUUCUUAGGUUUUUGAUAGAAUUUUUUACUCUUCGUCUUAUUUGCAAUUUUUUAUAAUUAAUAUUCUUGUUUUUAUUAUAUGAUAAAAUAUGGAUAGUACUUUACAUGCGACUAAUUUUUUUAAUUUUUUAAUAAAUAUUUUAAAUAAGACGGAUGGUUAAACGCUUGACAAAGAAAACUUAUA
rnacentral:pre_miRNA from 1 species